CAGCCGCCGCGGUAAUACGUACUCCGGCAAGUGGUAUCCACUUAUAUUGGGCNUAAAACGUCUGUAGCCGGUUUAUAAGUCCUUGGUGAAAUCAUUGGGCUCAACUCAAUGAAUUGCCAAGGAAACUGCUUGACUCGAGGCCGGGAGACGCCAAGGGAAUUUCCGGGGUAGCGGUGAAAUGUUAUGAUCCCAGAAAGACCGCCGGUAGCGAAGGCGCUUGGCGAGAACGGGCCUGACGGUGAGAGACGAAAGCUGGGGGAGCGACCAGGAUUAGAUACCCUGUUAGUCCCAGCCGUAAACGAUGUGGACUAGGUGUGCUGUCACCCACGUGGUACCAGCGUGCCGAAGGGAAGCCAUUAAGUCCACUGCCAGGGAAGUACGCCCGCAAGGGUGAAACUUAAUGGAAUUGGCGGGGGCGCACUACAAGGGGUGGAUGCUGCGGUUUAAAUAGACACAACCCCAGAUAAUCUUACCAGGGCUGACAGCAGAAUGAUGGGCAGUCUGAAGGGCUUUCCUGACGCGCUGAGAGGUGUUGUAUGGUCAUCGUCAGCUCGUACUAUGAAGCGUCCUGUCAACUCAGGCAACGGGCGAGACCCAUAUCCAUAGUUGCUACUUUCUCUUUUGAGGGGGGCACUCUAUGGAGACUGCAGUAGUAAUACUGAGGAAGGAGUGGGCGACGGUAGAUCUGUAUGGCCCGAAUGCCCUGGGCAACACGCGGCAUACAAUGGCUGAGACAAUGGGUUCCGACUCCGAAAGGAGAAGGUAAUCUCCUAAACUUAGCCCCAGUUCGGAUCGAGGGUUGUAACUCACCCUCGUGAAAAUGGAAUCCCCAGUAACCGCCUGUCAUUAUCAGGCGGUGAAUAAGUCCCUGCCCCUUGCACAC
rnacentral:rRNA from 1 species